ensembl:lncRNA
UUUCUGAAUAUUUUCAUUUGUUAAAACUUAGCCCUGUCCGACUGAAAGCUUCAAUUUCAAAUAUAAUUCAAGGUUUUCCCUUUCCCCAAAGCAUGCUGCACUUGUGGCUCCAGGAACUUGGAACACGGAAAGGACAGGACCUGUUCUUUACACACCUCCUGUUUGCCCUUUGAAAGCUUCCAGCUCUUCCGUGCUGAGGCAAGAAAGCGGACCAGGGGGAACCAGAGAAGGUCUCUUUGCCUAACUGGGAGAGGACACUAUUCUUUCCUGUUAGUUAUCACUCUGACCCACCAUGCUCUCAGAAAGUAAAUAUCCACAUGUUAACCAAGGCCUUCCCUGGCAUGGUUCCCAGCUCUGCCUCAAAAUCUUUCACAAGCCCUCCUCCUUGACUCCCCUCACCAGCGAUCCACCCUGCAGCCUCUGCUGCUGGGUUCUGGAAGUCCAGCUGGCAACCUCUUGGGUGAGUAAAGACCAGCAAAUGGCUCAAGCAUCCUGCACCAGGUCCAGAUGACCCACAGAUACCUCAUUCAUCUGCCAUGCCAACUGCGUCCCUGCAUUCCUUGCCUCUGCCUGGUGGUGUCCCUGAGGGAGAAAGGAGAGAAGCACCACAAACUCUUGCUAAAACAGGUUCUUUAAUCAGAAAUGGUCUCGUCUUCCAGUCCCAUGACGUGGUUACCACCUUUGGAGUGGUGGCUAUAAGAAGGUAACUAGCUAUGCUGUUGGGCCUGAAAUGCUAGGUUCCAUCCAGUAUGGGAUCUAAACCUCCCAGGUUUGGGGUGAAGAAUACCUCAAUGAGUGUCUGGGAAGGAAAGCAGACCCUGCCAGGUGGUCUGAACAUACCAUACCCAACUCUCCAAUUGCUAAGGGGCCUCACAUGUCCCAGAAGUUUUCUUAUAGUAAAGUCCUUUCACACCUUAUCCCUUCACCUCAGUGCAUCUACCUGCAAUCAUCCCCACAGAAAAGAGCACUUCAUGGGAUAAUAUGUGAGAACAGCAGAGAAUCCAGGCCACUCAAAAGAAAUUCUCACAGCAGGAUGCUGACAAAAGGAAGAAAUGACCCCCAAGCAGGGUUCAACCAAAGCCCCAGAGAGGCUGCUGCUGAGACAAUCAGCUACUGGGGUGGAAAGGCAGCUUGGCAUUAUCCACCGUGAUUUUGCCUCAAGAAUGUGAAAAGUCUUACUUGUAACAGAGUCACCUGCAUUGCAAAUGUCCAACUCGUGUUCACUAUUACUUAAUUCCUUUUAUGGCUUUCCUCCUAGCCUCACACGAGAAAAUAAUGUGUGAUUACUGAGUGAAUGCUGGUGCAGGAUUUAGUGCUCAUGUAAGGAAAAGACAAGUUUUUUUGUUACUAUUCUCUAUUCUUCUCAGGACAUAAGGGUACGGCAAACACUGGCAGUUAAAGAUUUCUGGAACAAAAUGAAGGCAUUUGGGUCCUAUAAAACUGAAGGCCCACUACUACAGCAUGAGAGCCGGAUCCCAGAGGAUGGUCUGAGCAGAGUAUCAGACACAGUGUACGCAUCUCCCCAGAGCUGUCCAGCCUCCUCUGCCCCCCGGGCCACGACCACUUCACCUUCUCGCACUGUUAGCUGUCUUGACCUCCCUCUUGGUGAAGCCCAGACUCUGCUAGAAGCAACAGCAGCUCAAGUGCCCAGAUAUAACCCAACCAGAUCCACAGAGCUCUAGCUUCUCCAGAGCUGCCCUCAGAAACCAGGUGACAAACCUAGAACUGCAAGGGAAUUAAUGCCCCUUGGGGCCAACAUUGAGAGGUCAGAGCACUUGAUUGCCGUUGCAAAACUCACCAGUGCUCUCUUUUCCCUCUGGAAUGGGGAUUGGCGACAUUCAAGAUGGUGACUGUCACAUCAGCCUGAGUCCUCAAGUAAGAAAAUGUGCAGCAAAGCACUCAGCUGACCUGCAAUGGACGUAUGAUAUGAGCAAGAAAUAAACCUUUGUUGUUUUAAG